UACGUAGGGUGCAAGCGUUGUUCGGAAUCACUGGGCGUAAAGCGCACGUAGGCGGAUGUGUCAGUCAGGGGUGAAAUCCCGGAGCUCAACUUCGGAACUGCCCUUGAUACAGCACGUCUUGAGUCCGGAAGAGGUGGGUGGAAUUCCUAGUGUAGAGGUGAAAUUCGUAGAUAUUAGGAAGAACACCGGUGGCGAAGGCGGCCCACUGGUCCGGUACUGACGCUGAGGUGCGAAAGCGUGGGGAGCAAACAGG
rnacentral:rRNA from 1 species